CUGUUCCACAGAGUAGCUAUUGACAGGCGCGCAAAUGACCCACUUCCGACGCGGGAAGGUAGUGACGACAAAUUACAAUACAGGACUCUUUAGAGGCUCUGUAAUUGUAAUGAGUCAACUUGAAAUUCUUUAACUCUGAUCAAUUGGAGGGAAGUCUGGUGCAGAGCCACUGACCCGUGCGUGCUGCAGCUGAAACG